GAUGAACGCUGGCGGCGUGCUUAACACAUGCAAGUCGAACGAAGCACUCUAUUUGAUUUUCUUCGGAAAUGAAGAUUUUGUGACUGAGUGGCGGACGGGUGAGUAACGCGUGGGUAACCUGCCUCAUACAGGGGGAUAACAGUUGGAAACGACUGCUAAUACCGCAUAAGCGCACAGGAUCGCAUGGUCCGGUGUGAAAAACUCCGGUGGUAUGGGAUGGACCCGCGUCUGAUUAGCCAGUUGGCAGGGUAACGGCCUACCAAAGCGACGAUCAGUAGCCGACCUGAGAGGGUGACCGGCCACAUUGGGACUGAGACACGGCCCAAACUCCUACGGGAGGCAGCAGUGGGGAAUAUUGCACAAUGGGGGAAACCCUGAUGCAGCGACGCCGCGUGAGCGAAGAAGUAUUUCGGUAUGUAAAGCUCUAUCAGCAGGGAAGAAG
rnacentral:rRNA from 1 species